CACGUUGUCUCCUACUUCAAUAAAUGGACUGGCUGUUCCUGACUUACCUUGCUCAUCAUCUAGAGGGGGAACUAGACCCCCAGCAGCACACCAGUCAGUUGGCAAGAUGUGCGUGUGGCCCCCAGCCCAGGCUGAAGACGAGAGGAUAAACUGUCCAGAGAGUCCCAGGACCCCUAGACUCAAGAGCCCUCUGGUGCAACGCUGGGAGUCUGGUCAAAUCAAUGGACACAACAUAGACGACGACUGAGCAGACUUUGACAGAGCACAGCGAAAGAGGAAUGAAGGUUAACCGAAAGACUGUGAGAUAAAAAGGAAAGCAGCGUAAGAAAAGUGGGAGCAGAGGAGGGAGUGAAUGUGAGGCGAGAAAGAGGUCAGGGAUUGAGGCUACAAAUGGGGUCAGGAGGAUUGGGAGCAAGGAAAAGGAUUGGCGUUGGACUGAAAAACCUGAGGAGUUACUUCAGCAAGGUGGAGAGAAAAAGUGGAUAAGCACUUGGCCUGUUUCUGACGCUGGAAAACUCUGAGACUAAUGAAUGUAAAAAAAGCAAAAAGAUAAUAAUAGCACUGCUGCA